rnacentral:rRNA from 1 species
UACGGAGGGAGCUAGCGUUGUUCGGAAUUACUGGGCGUAAAGCGUACGUAGGCGGUUAUUCAAGUCAGAGGUGAAGGCCCGGGGCUCAACCCCGGAACUGCCUUUGAAACUAGAUAGCUAGAGUCUUGGAGAGGUUAGUGGAAUUCCGAGUGUAGAGGUGAAAUUCGUAGAUAUUCGGAAGAACACCAGUGGCGAAGGCGACUAACUGGACAAGUACUGACGCUGAGGUACGAAAGCGUGGGGAGCAAACAGG